rnacentral:tmRNA from 1 species
GGGGGCGACUGGAAUCGAUUGUGUAGGUGGCCCCGUGGUUGCGUGCCCAGGUCCUCGGGUUCCUGGUAAAACACUCGGGAAAGUCUCAACUGCGAACAACAACUUCGCGCUUGCUGCGUAACUUCUAGUUACGUCCAGCAGUGCCCAUGAGGAAGCCCUCCCGGGGCGGCUUCACGGGUAUCGAAAAUCCGGGAUAGUCCAGCGUCGCGCCUUCCGGCGCCGGGCGAAACUCUAGAGGGCUCAUCCAGCGUUCGGCGGCCCACUGGCCAGGCGCUGGAGACAUCAAUCGGUGGGAUACGCACGUAGACGCUGCGGAAGAUCUUAUGCAAGACGGGAGUUCGAAUCUCCCCGCCUCCACUG